rfam:Punica granatum cultivar Dabenzi scaffold687, whole genome shotgun sequence.
UUUGGGAGAUGAUGACAACAUUUAUACUUAUCUCAAAGGCAUCAGCUAUGCUGAGUACUUUGCACGUCAGUCUGAUCCCUCU